rnacentral:rRNA from 1 species
GACGAACGCUGGCGGCGUGCUUAACACAUGCAAGUCGAACGGAAAGGCCCUGCUUUUGUGGGGUGCUCGAGUUGCGAACGGUUGAGUAACACGUGAGUAACCUGCCCUUGACUUUGGGAUAACUUCAGUAAACUGGGGCUAAUACCGGAUAGGAGCUCCUGCUGCAUGGUGGGGGUUGGAAAGUUUCGGCGGUUGGGGCUGGACUCGCGGCUUAUCAGCUUGUUGGUGGGGUAGUGGCUUACCAAGGCUUUGACGGGUAGCCGGCCUGAGAGGGUGACCGGCGACAUGGGGGCUGAGAUACGGCCCAGACUCGUACGGGAGGCAGAAGUGGGGAAUAUUGCACAAUGGGCGGAAGCCUGAUGCAGCAACGCCGCGUGCGGGAUGACGGCCUUCGGGUUGUAAACCGCUUUCGCAUGUGACGAAGCGUGAGUGACGGUAAUGGGUAAAGAAGCAACGGCUAACUACGUG